AGCCAGGGCAGAGCGCAGGACCAGUGGAAGCGGUGGCCGCAGGGGAGGUGCGCCAGGACGUCGCCGGCGCGGAACUCGUCCAGGCACACCGCGCACUCCGCCUGCUCCGCCGCGGCCCACCGCGGCCGGCUCCACCGCAUCAGGCGCCGCAUCACGCCUUUCUUCGAGUACACCUCCCGCUGCACGCCGGACAUCGCCGAGCACUCGCCGCGUUCGUCCGCGACGGCGCCGGCGGAGGCGGCGGUACCGCCGCUUCCGCUCCGGUGCGGUCUGCUCAGCUUUAUGCUCCCCGUGCUGUGAUGCCUGCAGCAAAAGAUGAGAUGAGAUCGUUAGGAAUCUGUAUCUGUUUGUUGUUCAGGCUGCCACGGAACGGAACAAACGACGACGACGUGCCGUGUGGGUGGCAGGUCUACCUCUUGAUGGCGGCCUCCCUCUUGCUCCGCAGCUUCUGG
rnacentral:lncRNA from 1 species